CCUACGGGAGGCAGCAGUGGGGAAUAUUGGACAAUGGGGGCAACCCUGAUCCAGCCAUGCCGCGUGUGUGAAGAAGGCCCUCGGGUUGUAAAGCACUUUCAGUGAGGAAGAACGCCUGGUGGUUAAUACCCAUCAGGAAAGACAUCACUCACAGAAGGAGCACCGGCUAACUCCGUGCCAGCAGCCGCGGUAAUACGGAGGGUGCGAGCGUUAAUCGGAAUUACUGGGCGUAAAGCGCGCGUAGGUGGCUUGAUAAGCCGGUUGUGAAAGCCCCGGGCUCAACCUGGGAACGGCAUCCGGAACUGUCAAGCUAGAGUGCAGGAGAGGAAGGUAGAAUUCCCGGUGUAGCGGUGAAAUGCGUAGAGAUCGGGAGGAAUACCAGUGGCGAAGGCGGCCUUCUGGACUGACACCGACACUGAGGUGCGAAAGCGUGGGUAGCAAACAGGAUUAGAUACCCGAGUAGUC
rnacentral:rRNA from 1 species